AGAGUUUGAUUCUAGCUCAGAACGAACGCUGGCGGCGUGGAUAAGACAUGCAAGUCGAACGGGAACUUACCGAUAGCAAUAUUAGUAAGUUCUAGUGGCGAAAGGGUGCGUAACACGUAGCUUACCUGCCUCGAAGUGGGGGAUAGCUUGCCGAAAGGCAAAUUAAUACCGCAUAUGCUCCGAAUUCUGUUCGGAGCAAAGCUGGGGAUUCUUCGGAACCUGGCGCUUUGAGAUGGGGCUGCGGCCUAUCAGCUUGUUGGUGAGGUAACGGCUCACCAAGGCUUAGACGGGUAGCUGGUCUGAGAGGACGAUCAGUCACACUGGAACUGAGACACGGUCCAGGCACCUACGGGUGGCAGCAGUCGAGGAUUUUUCACAAUGGGGGAAACCCUGAUGGAGCGACGCCGCGUGGGGGAUGACGGCCUUCGGGUUGUAAACCCCUGUCAUCCGGGAGUAAAGCUGCGUGGUUAAUACCCGCGUAGUUGAUAGUACCGGAAGAGGAAGCAGUGGCUAACUCCGUGCCAGCAGCCGCGGUAAUACGGAGACUGCAAGCGUUGUUCGGAUUCAUUGGGCGUAAAGGGUCCGUAGGCGGUCGAGCAAGUCGGAUGUGAAAUUCCCGAGCCCAACUCGGGUUAGUCAUUCGAAACUGCUUGACUAGAGGACUGGAGAGGAGACUGGAAUUGUCGGUGUAGCGGUGAAAUGCGUAGAGAUCGACAAGAACACCCGUGGCGAAGGCGGGUCUCUGGACAGUUCCUGACGCUGAGGGACGAAAGCUAGGGGAGCGAACGGGAUUAGAUACCCCGGUAGUCCUAGCCGUAAACGGUGUUCACUUGGUGUGGGAGGAGUCGACCCCCUCCGUGCCGAAGCUAACGCGAUAAGUGAACCGCCUGGGAAGUACGGCCGCAAGGCUAAAACUCAAAGAAAUUGACGGGGGCCCGCACAACCGGUGGAGCAUGUGGCUUAAUUCGAUGCAACGCGAAGAACCUUACCUGGCCUUGACAUCUAUCAUGAAAGUCGGUGAAAGCCGGUGACGGCCCGAAAGGGUGCAGGGGAUAGACAGGUGCUGCAUGGCUGUCGUCAGCUCGUGUCGUGAGAUGUUGGCUUAAGUGCCGCAACGAGCGCAACCCCUGUGACUAGUUGCUCCGGCGUCAGCCGGAGGGCUCUAGUCAGACUGCCUCGAUUCUAUCGCGGAGGAAGGUGGGGAUGACGUCAAGUCAGUAUGGCCCUUACGGCCAGGGCUGCACACGUGCUACAAUGCCCGGUACAGAGGGAAGCAAGACCGCGAGGUGGAGCAAAUCCCUGAAAACCGGGCCUAGUUCGGAUUGCAGGCUGCAACUCGCCUGCAUGAAGCCGGAAUCGCUAGUAAUGGCGUAUCAGCUACGACGCCGUGAAUACGUUCCCGGGCCUUGUACACACCGCCCGUCACAUCAUGGAAGCCGGCUGCACCCGAAGUCGUUGUGCUAACCCGCAAGGGAGGCAAACGCCGAAGGUAUGGCUGGUGACUGGGAUGAAGUCGUAACAAGGUA
rnacentral:rRNA from 1 species